rnacentral:rRNA from 1 species
ACUGCUCAGUAACACGUGGGUGACCUGCCCUCGAGCGGGGGAUAACUGCCCGAAAGGGUGGCUAAUACCGCAGAUGUCGAUGCUUCGGUGUGUCGACUGAACCGUUAGGGUUCGAGGAGGGGCCCGCGGCCGAUUAGCUUGCUGGUGGGGUAAUGGCCUACCAGGGCUGCGAUCGGUAGCUGGUCUGAGAGGAUGAUCAGCCAGACUGGGACUGCGAGACGGCCCAGACUCCUACGGGAGGCAGCAGUUAGGAAUUUUGGGCAAUGGGGGCAACCCUGACCCAGCAACGCCGCGUGGGUGAUGAAGGCCUUCGGGUCGUAAAGCCCUUUUCCCAGGGAAGAUAGUGACGGUACCUGGGGAAUCAGCCCCGGCUAACUACGUGCCAGCAGCCGCGGUAAUACGUAGGGGGCAAGCGUUGUCCGGAUUUAUUGGGCGUAAAGCGCUCGCAGGCGGCUCGAUGCGUCGUGCGUGAAACACCCCGGCUCAACUGGGGAGGGUCGUGCGAUACGGUCGAGCUUGAGGCCAGUAGGGGGAUGCGGAAUUCCGGGUGUAGUGGUGGAAUGCGUAGAGAUCCGGAGGAACACCAGCGGCGAAGGCGGCAUCCUGGACUGGUACUGACGCUCAGGAGCGAAAGCGUGGGGAGCGAUCCGGAUUAGAUACCCGGGUAGUCCACGCUGUAAACGAUGAGAACUAGGUGUCGGGGGUAUCGACCCCCUCGGUGCCGAAGCUAACGCGAUAAGUUCUCCGCCUGGGGACUACGGCCGCAAGGCUAAAACUCAAAGGAAUUGGCGGGGGAGCAC